rnacentral:lncRNA from 1 species
GCAACCCCCACCAUUUUCCCACAAAUUGCCCUCUCCCCUCAGCCCGGAAUUGGACGCCAAAAGUCAAAGCCAGUAACGGGGCGUCUGCCGUGAAAUCCAACCAUGGCAGAGAUACGGACACAAAGACCCCCCAAAUCAUUACGAAGACCUCCAGACCCAAACAGGUUGCUUCUGUAACCUGGGCACGAGGACGGUAACCCCCGAAACGAUGGGGGUGUGUCUCUCCACGCUGACAGGGGGGACCAAAGAGUGGUUGUGCCUUCUUCCCCCACAGGAUGAUGGUGCUUGGCGAAUUCUAUUCACCCUGUAGCAAAAGGAAACUUAUGUUGGCCUUUCUUUUUAUGAAUUCACAAUAAAUCAAUAUAUUUUUGUAUAUCAAGA